rnacentral:rRNA from 1 species
GAUGAACGCUGGCGGCGUGCCUAAUACAUGCAAGUCGAGCGAACGGACGAGAAGCUUGCUUUUCUGAUGUUAGCGGCGGACGGGUGAGUAACACGUGGAUAACCUACCUAUAAGACUGGGAUAACUUCGGGAAACCGGAGCUAAUACCGGAUAAUAUUUUGAACCGCAUGGUUCAAAAGUGAAAGACAGUCUUGCUGUCACUUAUAGAUGGAUCCGCGCUGCAUUAGCUAGUUGGUAAGGUAACGGCUUACCAAGGCAACGAUGCAUAGCCGACCUGAGAGGGUGAUCGGCCACACUGGAACUGAGACACGGUCCAGACUCCUACGGGAGGCAGCAGUAGGGAAUCUUCCGCAAAGGGCGAAAGCCUGACGGAGCAACGCCGCGUGAGUGAUGAAGGUCUUCGGAUCGUAAAACUCUGUUAUUAGGGAAGAACAUAUGUGUAAGUAACUGUGCACAUCUUGACGGUACCUAAUCAGAAAGCCACGGCUAACUACGUG